rnacentral:tmRNA from 3 species
GGGGGUAACUUGGAAUUGACCGGUAUUUGUCAAUUAUUCAGGGCACGUAGUGAGAUGUAUUCUAUCACUUUAAUCUAUGAAUACAAUUUUCAAACGGAAACGUUUUAAAUAAGAUGUCGGCUGUAGGUUUACUUAGAGCUGAUGAAGUAGCAGUAGCGUAAGACGCACUCCUACAACGGGUAAGUGAGUGAAAUACCUAGGAACAGAAACUCCUAAAAAGGUGAAUGACCGUUGAAUCUUAAAUCGAAUGGUCCAUCGGUGGUUGUCUAACGAUGGUGAAAGACAAGACAACAAAUUUCGGAGUAUUAGAAAAUACUGGCCUAAACGUGUAGUCCUUAGUAGUUGGGGUAUUCGACACGAGGGUUCGAGUCCCUCUACCUCCACAA